rnacentral:SRP_RNA from 1 species
CCGCACCAUAAGGCGGCGUCUAGAACCAUGGCGCUUGCACCGGGGCUAACCGAGGUGCAGAGGGAAGCAGCAAGAAGAACGCAUCCGCCAGUGCCUCCUGUGUGCAUGGU